UAGAGUUCGGAGCCAACCUCAACCUGGUGAA
rnacentral:piRNA from 1 species